rnacentral:rRNA from 1 species
UCGAGGAUCUUUGGCAAUGGGCGCAAGCCUGACCAAGCGACGCCGCGUGGACGAUGAAGGCCUUCGGGUUGUAAAGUCCUGUCGAGGGGGAUAAAAGCGCAAGCUUGAUAGAUCCCUGGAGGAAGCACGGGCUAAGUUCGUGCCAGCAGCCGCGGUAAGACGAACCGUGCUAACGUUGUUCGGAAUCACUGGGCUUAAAGGGCGCGUAGGCGGCUUGCCAAGUCAGGGGUGAAAUCUUUCGGCUUAACCGGAAAAGUGCCUUUGAUACUGGCGAGCUAGAGUGAGGUAGGGGUAUGUGGAACUUCCGGUGGAGCGGUGAAAUGUUUUGAUAUCGGAAGGAACGCCGGUGGCGAAAGCGACGUACUGGACCUCUGCUGACGCUGAGGCGCGAAAGCUAGGGGAGCAAACGG